AACCCUACUCAUGAGACCCUUCAGAUCUAUAUUGGAGGACCUUGUGCUUGGGGAUGAUUGCCAACAUGUACCUUGUGGGGCAGAGAUAAAGUCUCCAGGGGAAUUUUUGUAUGUUACAUAGACUGCCUUUCGCCCUUAGCAAAGAAUUAACAUCGAGGCAGCUGAGCUCCUAGAGGAAGUCACUCUGCCUGUUUCAAGGACUUGUUAGUGUGCUGUAGGUAGUAAGGAAAUUUAAGUUUUCUUCUGCCUUUGUUUCCCACGUCAUAACCCACCCGGAGUUGGGAAGCUAACCCACUCUGGGAGAGAUAACUUGUAAGCCGUUAGCUGCUGACACUUCGCAGGGGUCCCAGUGUGAGUGGGCAGGGACGUCACUCCUGUGGCUCCCGGGGCUCCUGAAGAGGGUGGGGUCCCUGCACAGGAUGAAAGUAUCUCUGAAGAUCAGUAGCUUUGGGUUUAGAAAAUUCUGGCUCCGGAGGGGGCGGGUAAUUGAUCUGGCUUGUUCUUUUGUUCUUCUUGGUUGAGAUCCCAAUGUGGAUCCUCCGUGUCCGGACCACCAGGGCUUGGUCCUCGCUGGGCCAGGGGUCGCCUGCAGAGCCCAGGGGUCGCCUGCGGAGCCCCAGCCCCGUCUCGUCUCCACCCAUGUAAGCCGCACACGCUGCUGGAGGUGGCCUGGGGGCUUCGAGGUUCCUGCAGAGCCCUGCUGGCAGCCACCAGCCUCCGCCCCUCUGGGGGGUUCCAGUUCCCGCAGCUCUUUAGAAAGGACUGGAAGGAGGGGGUGGAGAGACUCUGAGCCUUGAAAUCCGAUCUGUGGUUGUUUUUCCUCUAAAACCGAAUGGAUCCCCGCCCAGCAUCUGCCCUGGGCGCCCUUCCAGUCCCGCAGUGACCCGGGAGGAGCGGCUGCGGGGUGGGGCUGGGUGCGCACCUCCAGGACCUGGUCUGGAGCCAGCCCUGGCCUCGUGACCUUCCCCCCUGGCCCCCACCGGCUCCUGUCAUGCAGCCAUGUGAGCCCGGCCACGGCCAUGGCUGAGCCCCUGUCUUCGGUUUCCCAGUUCACUUCCCGUGGAUUCCCACUGGGCUGAGCACACAGGGCGGCUCUGAUAAAUGCGGCUGACAGGGCACGGGGCGGGGUGGGGAGGCUGUUUUAAACCCAGCGUUAUGAGGCGAGUGUCGGAAUCUGCAUCCGGAUCCCGAAUUUCACUGAUGCCUGCUAAGGAGCCCGGGUGUGCACCGCCAUCCGCCUGAUCCCUGGCCCCGUUGCCACGGGUCACAUCCCUUGGAACAAAGACACAAGGCCCAGGCAACCACCGUUCUACCUUCUGUUUCUAGAAAUCUACUUCAGAGACCUCACUCGUAUGAGCGGAAUCCACUGUGUUUGCCUUUUUGUGGCAGGCUUCUAUACCGGAGCACGAUGUCCUCGUGUUUCUCCCCGGUUCCCACACACGUAACAACACGUGACAAGACAGGACUGUCUUCCUUUCGAGGCCGGAGGAAGAUUCCGUUGUGUGUAGAUAGUACACUGUGGCUGUCAAUCCACUGAUGGACACGUGGCUUGUUUCUACCUCUUGGCUACUGUGGAUAAUGCUGCUCUGAAUAUGGGUGUGCGGAUACCUCUCUGAGAUCACGCUCCAGUUCUUUUGGAUGUUGUCACUGUGUCCCUGCCUGCUGAAGGUGGAUGGUGGGCCCCCAGAGGAUGGGAGCGAUCACCAUCACCCGUGAGGGCUCAGAAAGUGCAUCAGAGAGCGGGAAGAGUAGAGUGGACGUGGACGCAGAGGUGUGGAGAGACGCUUCCGAUACCUUCCAGCUCCUGAUUUCGUCAAGUUCCUGCGGCCUCGGCUUUGGUGACUUGUCCUUUCCUGCACGAGCUGGCUCGAGGUGGCUUCAGCCACUUUUAACCAGCCAUUCUCACCUUCAAUGUGAACAAAAACUUUCUGUUAUGGGCAGAAGCCGCUGCCUCGAGCUGAUUAGGUCUGGGAGUGACGGUCAAAUGGGCUGAGAGGAGGGCUCACCUGGGGCGCUCCCCUGCCCCCACCCACCUCUCCUCCCAGGCCAAGGCCCUGGAAUGAAAACUGAUCGGGAUACCCACAGAGAGGGUCCUUCCCCUAAAUCUACUCUUUGUACUGAAUCAGACUGUCUGAGCCACGCACACUUUCCCCCUUGCUCUCAGCCCUAGGAGGGAGCAAACACUGGGAAAAGCAAAAGAAGGACAACGAUGAACUCCCUUCAAAACUGUGGGUCCGGGGCACCUGGGGGGCUCAGUCGGUGAAGGUGAGGCAUCUGCCUUUGGCUCAGGUAGUGAUCCUGGGGUCCUGAGUUGUGCUCCCUGCUCAGUGGGGAGUCUGUUUCUCCCUCUCU